CAGUAGCCGCGGGAAUACGAAGGGGGAUAGCGUUGUUCGGAUUUACUGGGCGUAAAGCGCACGUAGGCGGAUCGAUCAGUCAGGGGUGAAAUCCCAGAGCUCAACUCUGGAACUGCCUUUGAUACUGUCGAUCUGGAGUAUGGAAGAGGUGAGUGGAAUUCCGAGUGUAGAGGUGAAAUUCGUAGAUAUUCGGAGGAACACCAGUGGCGAAGGCGGCUCACUGGUCCAUUACUGACGCUGAGGUGCGAAAGCGUGGGGAGCAAACAGGAUUAGAUACCCCCGUAGUCCCUGUCUCUUAUAC
rnacentral:rRNA from 1 species